rnacentral:rRNA from 1 species
AUACGUAGGGGGCGAGCGUUAUCCGGAAUUAUUGGGCGUAAAGCGCGCGCAGGCGGUCAGGUAAGUCGGAUGUGAAAGGCUACGGCUCAACCGUAGAGCGGCAUCCGAAACUGUCUGGCUUGAGUGCAGGAGAGGGGAGCGGAAUUCCCGGUGUAGCGGUGGAAUGCGUAGAGAUCGGGAGGAACACCAGUGGCGAAGGCGGCUCUCUGGCCUGUAACUGACGCUGAGGCGCGAAAGCGUGGGGAGCAAACAGGAUUAGAUACCCUGGUAGUCCACGCCGUAAACGAUGAGUGCUAGGUGUUGGAGGGACUCUCCCUUCAGUGCCGCAGGUAACCCAAUAAGCACUCCGCCUGGGGAGUACGGUCGCAAGACUGAA